rnacentral:rRNA from 1 species
GGUGAGUAACACGUGGAUAACCUACCUAUAACGACUGGGAUAACUUCGGGAAACCGGAGCUAAUACCGGAUAAUAUUUUGAACCGCAUGGUUCAAAAGUGAAAGACGGUCUUGCUGUCACUUAUAGAUGGAUCCGCGCUGCAUUAGCUAGUUGGUAAGGUAACGGCUUACCAAGGCAACGAUGCAUAGCCGACCUGAGAGGGUGAUCGGCCACACUGGAACUGAGACACGGGUCCAG